AACGAACGCUGGCGGCGUGCUUAACACAUGCAAGUCGAACGGAAAGGCCCUUCGGGGUACUCGAGUGGCGAACGGGUGAGUAACACGUGGGUGAUCUGCCCUGCACUUUGGGAUAAGCCUGGGAAACUGGGUCUAAUACCGAAUAUGAUCAUCAGCUUCAUGGUUGGUGGUGGAAAGCUUUUGCGGUGUGGGAUGGGCCCGCGGCCUAUCAGCUUGUUGGUGGGGUAAUGGCCUACCAAGGCGACGACGGGUAGCCGGCCUGAGAGGGUGACCGGCCACACUGGGGCUGAGAGACGGCCCAGACUCCUACGGGAGGCAGCAGGGGGGAAUAUUGCACAAUGGGCGCAAGCCUGAUGCAGCGACGCCGCGUGAGGGAUGACGGCCUUCGGGUUGUAAACCUCUUGCAGCACAGACGAAGCGCAAGUGACGGUAUGUGCAGAAGAAGGACCGGCCAACUACGUGCCAGCCGCCGCCGUAACAC
rnacentral:rRNA from 1 species